UUAGAUACCCUAUUAUACUAAUAAAAUCCUGAAUUAUUGUUAGAUAUAUUCUUUAAAUUUGAAGAAUUUGGCGGUGAUUUAGCCUUGUUAGAGGAACCUGUUUUUGAAUCGAUAAACCGCGUAGUAUCUUUCUCGAUUUUGUAUUCCAGCUUAUAUACCGUCAUUACUAGAUAAUUCUCAAAGGAGUAAUUGUUAAAAUCUAUAAAAGUUAGGCUAAAUUAGAUCAAGGUGUAGCUGAUAAAUGAGUUAAAAUGGGUUACAAUAAAUAUUUAUUUAUAACGGUUUAGUAGUGAUAAUUGUGCUAAUAAGGAGGAUUUAAUUGUAUCAGAAGUUUAAUAUGCUCUUGGGAUAUAAGCUCUAAGUCACGUACAUAUCGCCCGUCGCUA
rnacentral:rRNA from 1 species